rnacentral:rRNA from 1 species
GAUGAACGCUGGCGGCGUGCCUAAUACAUGCAAGUCGAGCGAACAGACGAGGAGCUUGCUCCUUUGACGUUAGCGGCGGACGGGUGAGUAACACGUAGGUAACCUACCUAUAAGACUUGGAUAACUUCGGGAAACCGGAGCUAAUACCGGAUAAUAUUUCGAACCGCAUGGUUCGAUAGUGAAAGAUGGCUUUGCUAUCACUUAUAGAUGGACCUGCGCCGUAUUAGCUAGUUGGUAAGGUAACGGCUUACCAAGGCAACGAUACGUAGCCGACCUGAGAGGGUGAACGGCCACACUGGAACUGAGACACGGUCCAGACUCCUAGGGGAGGCAGAAGUAGGGAAUCUUCGGAAAUGGGCGAAAGACUGACGGAGCAACGCCGCGUGAGUGAUGAAGGUCUUCGGAUCGUAAAACUCUGUUAUUAGGGAAGAACAAACGUGUAAGUAACUGUGCACGUCUUGACGGUACCUAAUCAGAAAGCCACGGCUAACUACGUG